rnacentral:tRNA from 1 species
CGGGGUCGGAGGUGCGCAGGUGCUCGUCCACGGCGAUGCCGCCGCCGAAGGCGCGGUCGGCCAGUUCCAGUCCGGCCGCCUCGGC